UUCGUGGGUUUUUAAAUUCAUGGAUUUUAGUUUUCUAAAAAAAAUAAUUGCAAAAUUAAAGCUUUUAGAAACGAAGGUUACAAAUAGUCUGGAUUGAAGGAAAUUGCAAAGUAAACAUUGACCCGUGUAAAUCAUAGUGAUAACACUUAUUAACCCAUGAUACAGUGAUCAACAGAUUAAAGACCAUCAAAGGUGUUAAUUAGGCCAUAAACAUGUCACCUAUUGAAAAUUGUUACAUAAACAAAUGCUUUAAACGUAUCUUGAAUUGUCAAAUAAUUCUUAUCAAAAUCAAGCCCACCAUGAAAUUAUUAUUUUCCAU
rnacentral:lncRNA from 1 species